ensembl:lncRNA
AUUAAACCUUAGUAGAUGUAUUGUGGUUUCUGUGUGUGGGUUAUGUAUUAGUCAAGAAUUCCUAAUAAAUACUGUUUUAUGUCUUUUUAAUCAAGAAAAUAAGGUUGUUUAUAUACUGUUUUGUGGUAAUGACACCUUCAGUCCUCAGGAGGCUCUCAAAGAAGUAAAUACUCUGAUAGCUUUUAGCUGCCAACUGCUGUUUGAGUUGUUCACGUCACAUGAUGUUAAUUGAUGGACUGGAGUGGUGUGGAUUUUUUUUUGAUUGUGAUGUUUUUAUCAGCUGUUUGGAGUGUAAUUCUGACGGCACCCAUUCACUGCAGAGGAUCCAUUGGAGGAAAAACGCCAGUCUGACAUGGGCAGCGAGUCACUGAGGCGGGCCGCUGACGUAUGAUGAAAGAGGAGGGAGCAGGAGCUCCCAUUCCAGCCAAAAUUCUCGUUCUUGGAACUAACAUUUUCAGCUGUGAAGACGCAUGCUUACAGAGAAGCAGAGGGAAAGACAACAGUUCAUACUGUUCUCCAGAAUCUCACAUCCCUCAUGUCUCUUUAAUUUGUUCAGACACUGCAUCCUUUCCAAUGGAUGUCACGUUUCUUUGGUGUUUGUUAUGUGGUGCCACUCAAAAUGUAAACAACAGAUGCUGCCAUCCACAUUAUAAGUCAAUGAGUGUCCUAUCAUAUAUUAUUUGACCAAAAAAGCUUCUAUUCUAUUCUAUUCUAUUCUAUUCUAUUCUAUUCUAUUCUAUUCUAGUUUAGUAUUAUGUUGUAAUAAAAAGUGAGAGUAUGGAUCAUCCCUACAGUAAGCUUGAACGUGUAAUUUCUGUUUUUAAUAAUCUUAAGGUUUUUUUUUUUUU